AUUGAACGCUGGCGGCAGGCUUAACACAUGCAAGUCGAGCGGGGUGAUGGUGCUUGCACUAUCACUUAGCGGCGGACGGGUGAGUAAUGCUUAGGAAUCUGCCUAUUAGUGGGGGACAACAUCUCGAAAGGGAUGCUAAUACCGCAUACGUCCUACGGGAGAAAGCAGGGGACCUUUAUGACCUUGCGCUAAUAGAUGAGCCUAAGUCGGAUUAGCUAGUUGGUGGGGUAAAGGCCUACCAAGGCGACGAUCUGUAGCGGGUCUGAGAGGAUGAUCCGCCACACUGGGACUGAGACACGGCCCAGACUCCUACGGGAGGCAGCAGUGGGGAAUAUUGGACAAUGGGGGGAACCCUGAGCUAGCCAUGCCGCGUGUGUGAAGAAGGCCUUAUGGUUGUAAAGCACUUUAAGCGAGGAGGAGGCUCUUUUGGUUAAUACCCAAGAUGAGUGGACGUUACUCGCAGAAUAAGCACCGGCUAACUCUGUGCCAGCCGCCGCAGUAA
rnacentral:rRNA from 1 species